rnacentral:rRNA from 1 species
CUUGAGACCGGCGCACGGGUGCGUAACGCGUAUGCAAUCUACCUUUAUCUGGGGGAUAGCCCGAAGAAAUUCGGAUUAACACCGCAUAAAAUCACAGUACGGCAUCGUACAAUGAUCAAAUAUUUAUAGGAUAGAGAUGAGCAUGCGUGUCAUUAGUUAGUUGGCGGGGUAACGGCCCACCAAGACCACGAUGACUAGGGGAUCUGAGAGGAUGACCCCCCACACUGGUACUGAGACACGGACCAGACUCCUACGGGAGGCAGCAGUAAGGAAUAUUGGUCAAUGGAGGCAACUCUGAACCAGCCAUGCCGCGUGCAGGAAGACGGCCCUCUGGGUUGUAAACUGCUUUUAUUCGGGAAUAAACCUACUUACGUGUAAGUAGCUGAAUGUACCGAAGGAAUAAGGAUCGGCUAACUCCGUGCCA